rnacentral:rRNA from 1 species
GAUGAACGCUGGCGGCGUGCCUAAUACAUGCAAGUCGAGCGAACGGACGAGAAGCUUGCUUCUCUGAUGUUUGCGGCGGACGGGUGAGUAACACGUGGAUAACCUGCCUAUAAGACUGGGAUAACUUCGGGAAACCGGAGCUAAUACCGGAUAAUAUUUUGAACCGCAUGGUUCAAAAGUGAAAGACGGUCUUGCUGUCACUUAUAGAUGGAUCCGCGCUGCAUUAGCUAGUUGGUAAGGUAACGGCUUACCAAGGCAACGAUGCAUAGCCGACCUGAGAGGGUGAUCGGCCACACUGGAACUGAGACACGGUCCAGACUCCUACGGGAGGCAGCAGUAGGGAAUCUUCCGCAAUGGGCGAAAGCCUGACGGAGCAACGCCGCGUGAGUGAUGAAGGUCUUCGGAUCGUAAAACUCUGUCAUUAGGGAAGAACAUAUGUGUAAGUAACUGUGCACAUCUUGACGGUACCUAAUCAGAAAGCCACGGCUAACUACGUG